UACGGGGGGGGCAAGCGUUGUUCGGAAUUACUGGGCGUAAAGGGCUCGUAGGCGGCCAACUAAGUCAGACGUGAAAUCCCUCGGCUUAACCGGGGAACUGCGUCUGAUACUGGAUGGCUAGAGUUUGGGAGAGGGAUGCGGAAUUCCAGGUGUAGCGGUGAAAUGCGUAGAGAUCUGGAGGAACACCGAUGGCGAAGGCAGCCUUCUGGGCCAACACUGACGCUCGUGCACGAAAGCGUGGGGAGCAAACAGG
rnacentral:rRNA from 1 species